rnacentral:rRNA from 1 species
ACAUUGCCUUCCGUUAAAAUGUGGUAGGUAAUUUCUGCCCACUGCAAUUUUGUAAAGGGCUGCAGUAUUUUGACUGUAUAAAGGUAGCAUAAUCAUUAGCUUUUCAAUUGGGAGCUGGUAUGAAGGGGACACGGGGGAUUAGUAUAUUAAUAAAGACUAUUGAAUUUUAUAGUUUUGUGAAAAAUCAAAGAUUAAGCUAAGGGACAAGAAGACCCUAUUUAAGUUUUAUUGCUGUUUAGGAAAAAUAUAUAGGUGGGGAUUGGAUUAGUGUAAUUUGUAUACAGAGAUUUAGCUGGGGCGGUGAAUUUGUUAACAAGAUUUUUGUUUUAAUAUUUAUUGACGUAUUAGGGACCUAAAAGGAUUAAGUGAAUGGAAAAUUACUUUAGGGAUAACAGCGUUAUUAUUUUUGAGAGUUCUAAUUGACGGAGUAGUUUGCGACCUCGAUGUUGGAUUAAGAUUAGCGUUGGUGCAGUAGUUGGCGUGUUUGUCGUCGA